CCCCCACCUCCACCCCACACACACAAUUUCACCGAGUAAUUUAUCUUAAUUUUAUUUUUUAAAUAAAGUUCAUUCUACAAGCUUUCUUUUGUCUGCCUGCCCUUUCUAUCUCCAGUAGCACAUAUUUGGGUGGUGGGAGAGCAUUCCUAAAUGGGACCCUUAUGGGAGGAACGUGGGAAUAAGGGAAACCACUAUCCUGAGGCUUGCCCACUUGACCCUCAGCGUUCCCCAUCCGACCCCUUCCAGCUCUGUUCCUUUCUCUGGCUGUUCUUCCAGGAGCCGGAGCACCUCAGGUCUGCACACAGUAAACUGAGUUUUGCUUCGAGAUGCACCUAGAGGCAUGGGUGGGUUUCCCCACGGGAAGCUUUGAGACGUAUGUGUUUCUUCUGGUUCGCUUGUGUGUAUAUGCUCGGUCGAGGCAACCCAGUCGCCUACCCUUGGGGUAGAUCCACCGACGGAGCAGGCGCUCUCUCAAGGAAUGCCGACACCCACAUGCUGCCCACUGCCCUCCAGUCCCUGCGAAAAAACACCGGAUGGGGCUUGCCUGAAGCACGUGGCCUCUGGUGACUAAGAGCAGGCACGCGGGUGAGAAGCCGGAGAAGAACCUGGCAGGCAGGGCAUGUGUAUCCCCGCCGGGCUCCCUACGCGCCCAAGUCUCCCCUGCAAUCCAAAGCGCAGAUCAAUCUCCCUUUCUACCAGGACGGCCUUUUCCGUUGAAAAGUGGGGGUGGGGGGGGGCACGACAAGGAAAAAAGGAAAGGAAGUGUGCUCGCAUGUUAAUUUGGUUUUUUCCCCCCCUCUCCAUGUGCUUCCAAAUUAAAAAGUGGCCUCUUAGGCGACAGGCCUGCGGUUUUCACAGUGUAAAACGGAUUAGUGGGCAAACUCCUGCCCUUCUCGACUUUCGCUUGCGGUUUGCAACCCCCAGGGCGGGUCUGACCCGGAGGCACCUGCCCAGGCGAGCUUUGCCCGCAGCUGCCUAGCGCGUGGACUCCGCUUCUCCGGCGCCAACACCCACCCCAGGGACCAUCGGCCUCCCACCCGCGGGGCGUAUCCCAGGCCCAGUGCCCAGGGGGAGGGGAGUUCCCACGGUGUGGAUGAUCCGCACACUCAGAGCCAGCAGCCCGCCUUCCAGCCCCUGUGCGCUUGCGUCCCGACUCCUCCUCCGCCGCUCCUGGGUCAUGGGUGGGCCGGAGUCCAGGGACCGUCUGCAGCCCACGCUCCAGGGAGCCACGCGGAACCCUGCUUGUUCAUUCAUAGGUUUUCCUCCAAGAAUCUGAAGUUCGUGGAGGACACUUCCAAGAGUUCUCUCAUGAUUAUCAGUCGGUUCAAGAAAGGGAAAAAAAAAGUAUAGGCUAACUCCGAGCAGAGGUCGCUGAAGGGGACGUGUACCCCACACAGGCUGGACGCGUGGUUCCGUCCUCUAGUACGUGCACCUGUUCACGAGUUUGCUGGGAGUGAGAAGAUUCCGAGAUUGGCCAAUCUUAUCCCUUUUGUUUAUUACGUUUAAUAAACAAAAGUAAAAGUUUGCUUCCCAGUUCUAGAAAUGCCUUCUGGUCUUUCCGCCCUGAAGCGGGAUUUAGGCAUCCUCUAACACUGCAGAGAAUUAUCAAUGUCGAUCCACAGUGGGGCAUCCACAGAAGAGGUCCUACAGAUGGUGGGGCCAAGGGUCCAGAAAAUAGCGUCAGCGAGGGACAAAUUCCGGGGUUCUGGACCGUCAGGCACGUUUCGCUUGGGGGACCCUUGAGCGUGAGGGUGAGGGAGGACCCACGUCCACCCACAGCCACGAGCGUCAUGGAGCAUCAGGCGGGUUCCACCUUAAAGAGUCCCGGAGCGCCCAACUGCGGAGACGCCUGGCACCUGCAGGGGGCGCUGCUGCCUCGCGGUUCCUCCCGCGCCGGGGCACAGCGAGCUCCUCGGCCUCCAGGCCUUCGUCCCCGGAGGGGGUGGGGACCCUAGGGGGAGGAAGGGCGCGAGUGCGGCCGCUAGUUCUGCAAAGUUCGACACACAGAUCAGUGAACCUUGAGCGCCCUUGUGCAGACACACAUUGUGGAGGUUUGUCAAGAACUCUCGGCUGCGAUUAUAAUGACAGAAUGGACAAUUCUGAAAGCUCUGGGCAGCAACGCACUUAAGGGAAAAUGAGGAGCUUAGUAGAUUGGAGAAAAUUAACCAGCCACAAACAACCUCAUUAAAGAACUGCCUACCAAGAGUUAAGAAUUAAUAGCAAAAUGGAUGGGAAAAAAACCCUUGAGUGAAGAGACCUUCAACCCCCUUUCCUGAAAGGUUUCUAAUGAAGAGACUGUGUGUGUCACCGCGCAUAAGAGAGAAAAAGAGGGAGGGAAGGAGAGAGCUCUUUAAACAAAAGACAAGGAGGCCCAAGCAGGGGCCUGGAGCCGUCCCUGGAGCCUGCUCAGCCUGAAGACCCUCCAGUUCCCCAGCCAGGCAGGCAUUUUGGAGAGGUUCUGCCACCGAGGCGGAACGGUCCUGGGCUCGCUCUCCAUGCGGCUGGAGAAGAACUGGAGACAAAGCCCGGAUCCAAGGCCUCGCAGCGAGGCUCCAAUCAGCGCCCCGGGCUUCUAGCCUAAGGUCCAGGCACGACCCCCUGCGGGCUGUGACCCGGGAAGGGAGCCCAGGCCCGGCCCCAGCCUUCCCUCGGCCCUAGGUAGCCCUGGCUAGCCAGGUUGCCCCUGACGCACUCAGCCAGCUGCUCUUGGGUGCUUGCGAGUUCAAAACAGGCUCUCUCAUUAAUUAAAAGCUGGACAGUCUUGUCACUUUCUUUCCUGGCCGAGGAAGCGCCUCUAGAAGUCCCCGCAGUACUCUUGGCCCUCGAGUGAGGCCUUGGAGGUCGAGCGGCCAUUUACUGCCCUCUGAUUGCGCCGAGGACCAGGUUAGCUCAUAAAGCCUUUCACACUCAACAAUGGGGAUUUUCUCAACAAUUAACAAGAAACAACAUAAUAAAGCCAUUUACAAAGAC
rnacentral:sRNA from 1 species